rnacentral:rRNA from 1 species
GACGAACGCUGGCGGCGUGCCUAACACAUGCAAGUCGAACGGAAGUAAGAGCUUCGGUUUUGCUUUAGUGGCGAACGGGUGAGUAACGCGUGAGGAACCUGCCUUUCAGUGGGGGACAACAGUUGGAAACGACUGCUAAUACCGCAUAAUGUUUCCGGUCCGCAUGGACUGGAAACCAAAGCUUUAUGUGCUGAAAGAUGGCCUCGCGUCUGAUUAGAUAGUUGGUGAGGUAACGGCCCACCAAGGCGACGAUCGGUAGCCGGACUGAGAGGUUGAACGGCCACAUUGGGACUGAGACACGGCCCAG